UUUUUUUAUAACUCAAUGGAUAGUUUUCAUUAUAAAACUUAUGUACAUAUACUUUUUUAUGAAGAAAAUUCUUUAAUUUAUUCAUAUUUAGAAGAAAUUCACUUUAUUUUCAUUGCUUCCUACUAGGAAGCAAUUCCCCCGACAUAUUUUCCGUAUGCAAAGUGACCUCAGUGUGACCCAUCUCGUAAAAAUCCGGUGAUCGCAAUACGCAUGGAUGUCCUUAAAAUAAACUAUUAUCUGAAUUGACAUGUUAAACACUUGCUCAAUUUCCAUGCUAUUUUGUUGAUUUUUUGUCGAUUGUUGACAAACAAGUUAAAAUCGUUAACUUUCAGCUUCAAAACACGAACUUUAAUUACCUGCCAUAUUUUCACAACAACACUGACCGAUUGAAAAAAAAAUUGACGAUUAUACGAAAUUAACACGAAAAAAA
rnacentral:lncRNA from 1 species